rnacentral:rRNA from 1 species
CGAAUACAUUAGCAUGGGAUAAUGGAAUAGGACCCUGUCCUCCUAUUUUCAGUUGGUUUUGGCAGCGCGAGGACUAGGGUAAUGAUUAAUAGGGAUAGUUGGGGGCAUUAAUAUUUAAUUGUCAGAGGUGAAAUUCUUGGAUUUAUGAAAGAUUAACUUCUGCGAAAGCAUCUGCCAAGGAUGUUUUCAUUAAUCAAGAACGAAAGUUAGGGGAUCGAAGACGAUCAGAUACCGUCGUAGUCUUAACCAUAAACGAUGCCGACCAGCGAUUAGGAGACGUUGAAUACAAAACACCACCAUCGGCGCGGUCGUCCUUGGCGUGUCUCGGCUUCACGGCUGGGGCGCGCGAGGGCGGUUUAGCCCGGUGGCACCGGU